rnacentral:rRNA from 1 species
UUAAGCAUAUCAAUAAGCGGAGGAAAAGAAACUAACAAGGAUUCCCCUAGUAACUGCGAGUGAAGCGGGAAAAGCUCAAAUUUAAAAUCUGGUGGCCUUUGGUCAUCCGAGUUGUAAUUUAGAGAAGCGUCUUCCGCGCUGGACCGUGCACAAGUCUCCUGGAAUGGAGCGUCGUAGAGGGUGAGAAUCCCGUCUUUGGCACGGACGCCCAGUGCUUCUGUGAUGCGCUCUCGAAGAGUCGAGUUGUUUGGGAAUGCAGCUCAAAAUGGGUGGUGAACUCCAUCUAAAGCUAAAUAUUGGCGAGAGACCGAUAGCGAACAAGUACCGUGAGGGAAAGAUGAAAAGCACUUUGGAAAGAGAGUGAAACAGUACGUGAAAUUGUUGAAAGGGAAACGCUUGAAGUCAGUCGCGUCGUCCGAGACUCAGCCUCGCCUCGGCUUGGUGUACUUCUCGGCCGACGGGUCAGCAUCAAUUUUGCCCCUUGGAUAAUGGCGAGGGAAAUGUGACACCUUUACGGGUGUGUUAUAGUCUCUUGUCGCAUGCAAGGGUCGGGAUUGAGGAACUCAGCACGCGCCUUCGGGUGUCGGGGUUUUGCCCACGAUACGUGCUUAGGAUGUUGGCGUAAUGGCUUUAAACGACCCGUCUUGAAACACGGACCAAGGAGUCUAACAUGCCCGCGAGUGUUCGGGUGGAAAACCCGUGCGCGCAAUGAAAGUGAAAGUUGGGACCUCUGUCGUGGAGGGCACCAACGCCCGGACCAGACCUUCUGUGACGGAUCUGCGGUAGAGCGUGUAUGUUAGGACCCGAAAGAUGGUGAACUAUGCCUGAAUAGGGUGAAGCCAGAGGAAACUCUGGUGGAGGCUCGUAGCGAUUCUGACGUGCAAAUCGAUCGUCAAAUUUGGGUAUAGGGGCGAAAGACUAAUCGAACCAUCUAGUAGCUGGUUCCUGCCGAA